rnacentral:lncRNA from 1 species
CUUUUCAAUUUUUAUUCAUUCAGAAUAUUUACAUACUAUUUGAAAAUGAAAGAGGCUGGGAUUUUGUUUUAUAUCAUUUGUUGAUAUUGUUCAGUAGCAUAUCUUUUCAAUUUUUAUUCAUUCAGAAUAUUUACAUACUAUUUGAAAAUGAAAGAGGCUGGGAUUUUGUUUUAUAUCAUUUGUUUAUAUUGUUCAGUAGUAUAUGCCUAAAUGAGGCCGUAGCACAGUUAACGGACGAGCAGAGGUGGUGACGUCAUCGAGUCCGCUGCUGUUCCAAUCGCAGGUACGUACUCGCGUGCUUGCAAGUAUGUGCUUGAGGUACAGACUUGCCAAGUACGUGCUUGCAAGUCAUCGAGUCCGAAGUACGCGUGCUAGGAAUUGAGAAACGGCCAUAGCAUCAUAGACGGAGCAUUGGCUGCUGGGACGCGAGAAAUACGUCCGCCAUCUUGGUGGUCAACCGGGAGCAGCAACAGCAGCAGAAACAGGAUGCCGGGCUGUUGUUCAGCGUAUUCCUGCUCAAAUCGGCGGCCAAUCCACAAUAGGAAUCGGGGGGAUUACUUUUCACAAGUAAGAUUUAACAUUACCGUACUAUUGGUAUAAUUGGUAUUGAAUAAUAAAACACGCCAAAUCAUGUGGCCUUUAUCAUAGCUACACGUAUGACAAAAAAAACGCAUGAAAAUCAGUGGUAUUCAGUGAGGUAUGAUUAAUUAAAUGCGCUGAAAGUUCAUUGCUCCAGCCAAACGGAUUACACUGAGUUGAGCGGAUGACCACUCCAAGAUGGCAGCCCCGCGUCUCGUCAGCGCCAGUAGGUGGUAGCAUUCGAUGCUCCGUCUAUCAUAUAUGAUGUCUAUGGUUGCAAGUACACACGAGCCACCUCCGAUGCAUGCUCGGUGAAACGGCGAGAUCGAGCACGCAUCAAGAACACUUCCGGGUUUUACGACAGUACUCGCUUGAUGCGUGCUUUGAAUUGGAACAGUGCUCGGGCAACGACUGAUGACGUUUCACGAGUCCACGAGCACACGAGCACGCACAAGUACGCGAAUUGAGAAACGGCCAUAGACGGAGCAUUGGCUGCUGGGACGAG